AGUGAACGCUGGCGGUAGGCCUAACACAUGCAAGUCGAACGGCAGCACAGUAAGAGCUUGCUCUUACGGGUGGCGAGUGGCGGACGGGUGAGGAAUACAUCGGAAUCUACUUUUUCGUGGGGGAUAACGUAGGGAAACUUACGCUAAUACCGCAUACGACCUACGGGUGAAAGCAGGGGAUCUUCGGACCUUGCGCGAUUGAAUGAGCCGAUGUCGGAUUAGCUAGUUGGCGGGGUAAAGGCCCACCAAGGCGACGAUCCGUAGCUGGUCUGAGAGGAUGAUCAGCCACACUGGAACUGAGACACGGUCCAGACUCCUACGGGAGGCAGCAGUGGGGAAUAUUGGGCAAUGGGCGAAAGCCUGAUCCAGCCAUGCCGCGUGAGUGAAGAGGGCCUUCGGGUUGUAAAGCCCUUUUGUUGGGAAAGAAAAGCAGCAGAUUAAUACCCCGCUGUUCUGACGGUACCCAAAGAAUAAGCACCGGCUAACUUCGUG
rnacentral:rRNA from 1 species